rnacentral:rRNA from 1 species
CACGUAGGGGGCGAGCGUUGUCCGGAUUUAUUGGGCGUAAAGAGCUCGUAGGCGGCUCAGUAAGUCGGGUGUGAAAACUCCAGGCUCAACCUGGAGACGCCACCUGAUACUGCUGUGGCUAGAGUCCGGUAGGGGAGCAUGGAAUUCCUGGUGUAGCGGUGAAAUGCGCAGAUACUAGGAGGAACACCGAUUGCGAAGGCAGCUCGCUGGGACGUCACUGACGCUGGAGGAGCGAAAGCGUGGGGAGCGAACAGG